GCCUACGGGAGGCAGCAGUGGGGAAUAUUGGGCAAUGGGGGGAACCCUGACCCAGCGACGCCGCGUGAGGGAAGAAGGUUUUCGGAUUGUAAACCUCUGUCCUUGGUGACGAUAAUGACGGUAGCCAAGGAGGAAGCCACGGCUAACUACGUGCCAGCAGCCGCGGUAAUACGUAGGUGGCAAGCGUUGUCCGGAAUUACUGGGUGUAAAGGGAGCGCAGGCGGGAAGCCAAGUCAGCUGUGAAAACUACGGGCUUAACUUGUAGACUGCAGUUGAAACUGGUUUUCUUGAGUGAAGCAGAGGUU
rnacentral:rRNA from 1 species